AGGACGAACGCUGGCGGCGUGCUUAACACAUGCAAGUCGAGCGGAAAGGCCCUUCGGGGUACUCGAGCGGCGAACGGGUGAGUAACACGUGAGUAAUCUGCCCCUAGCUCUGGGAUAGCUCCGGGAAACCGGGAUUAAUACCAGAUACGACCACUUUAGACAUCUGUUGUGGUGGAAAGAAUUUUGGCUAGGGAUGAGCUCGCGGCCUAUCAGCUUGUUGGUGAGGUAACGGCUCACCAAGGCGACGACGGGUAGCCGGCCUGAGAGGGCGACCGGCCACACUGGGACUGAGACACGGCCCAGACUCCUACGGGAGGCAGCAGUGGGGAAUAUUGCGCAAUGGGCGAAAGCCUGACGCAGCGACGCCGCGUGGGGGAUGAAGGCCUUCGGGUUGUAAACCCCUUUCAGCAGGGACGAGCGAAAGUGACGGUACCUGCAGAGAAGCGCCGGCUAACUACGCGCCAGCAGCCGC
rnacentral:rRNA from 1 species